CUGCUAUACAUGCAGUCGAGCGAACGGACGAGAAGCUUGCUUCUCUGAUGUUAGCGGCGGACGGGUGAGUAACACGUGGAUAACCUACCUAUAAGACUGGGAUAACUUCGGGAAACCGGAGCUAAUACCGGAUAAUAUUUUGAACCGCAUGGUUCAAAAGUGAAAGACGGUCUUGCUGUCACUUAUAGAUGGAUCCGCGCUGCAUUAGCUAGUUGGUAAGGUAACGGCUUACCAAGGCAACGAUGCAUAGCCGACCUGAGAGGGUGAUCGGCCACACUGGAACUGAGACACGGUCCAGACUCCUACGGGAGGCAGCAGUAGGGAAUCUUCCGCAAUGGGCGAAAGCCUGACGGAGCAACGCCGCGUGAGUGAUGAAGGUCUUCGGAUCGUAAAACUCUGUUAUUAGGGAAGAACAUAUGUGUAAGUAACUGUGCACAUCUUGACGGUACCUAAUCAGAAAGCCACGGCUAACUACGUGCCAGCAGCCGCGGUAAUACGUAGGUGGCAAGCGUUAUCCGGAAUUAUUGGGCGUAAAGCGCGCGUAGGCGGUUUUUUAAGUCUGAUGUGAAAGCCCACGGCUCAACCGUGGAGGGUCAUUGGAAACUGGAAAACUUGAGUGCAGAAGAGGAAAGUGGAAUUCCAUGUGUAGCGGUGAAAUGCGCAGAGAUAUGGAGGAACACCAGUGGCGAAGGCGACUUUCUGGUCUGUAACUGACGCUGAUGUGCGAAAGCGUGGGGAUCAAACAGGAUUAGAUACCCUGGUAGUCCACGCCGUAAACGAUGAGUGCUAAGUGUUAGGGGGUUUCCGCCCCUUAGUGCUGCAGCUAACGCAUUAAGCACUCCGCCUGGGGAGUACGACCGCAAGGUUGAAACUCAAAGGAAUUGACGGGGACCCGCACAAGCGGUGGAGCAUGUGGUUUAAUUACGAAGCAACGCGAAGAACCUUACCAAAUCUUGACAUCCUUUGACAACUCUAGAGAUAGAGCCUUCCCCUUCGGGGGACAAAGUGACAGGUGGUGCAUGGUUGUCGUCAGCUCGUGUCGUGAGAUGUUGGGUUAAGUCCCGCAACGAGCGCAACCCUUAAGCUUAGUUGCCAUCAUUAAGUUGGGCACUCUAAGUUGACUGCCGGUGACAAACCGGAGGAAGGUGGGGAUGACGUCAAAUCAUCAUGCCCCUUAUGAUUUGGGCUACACACGUGCUACAAUGGACAAUACAAAGGGCAGCGAAACCGCGAGGUCAAGCAAAUCCCAUAAAGUUGUUCUCAGUUCGGAUUGUAGUCUGCAACUCGACUACAUGAAGCUGGAAUCGCUAGUAAUCGUAGAUCAGCAUGCUACGGUGAAUACGUUCCCGGGUCUUGUACACACCGCCCGUCACACCACGAGAGUUUGUAACACCCGAAGCCGGUGGAGUAACCUUUUAGGAGCUA
rnacentral:rRNA from 1 species